AUAAUUAUAUUACAUGUCUAGAUAGAAUGGAUGAAAGGCUUCUGAAAAGCCAUGACGAACUAGCAUUAAAAACUCAAAAAAUAACCACUUCAAUGGGACCCGAGAUCACAUAUGACAUCCACAGGAGAAGAAUUAGUUCAAGAGAUGAGCUGGCAGGGUCUACAUCUUCUAGACACGGGGAGCCCACUCCUGAGCUCACGACAUACGGAGGCAUUAAAUUAGGAUGGGUACAGGGCGUAUUAAUACCAUGCCUGCUGAACAUCUGGGGUGUGAUGCUGUUUCUUCGCAUGGCGUGGAUCGUGGCGCAGGCGGGCAUAGGCCUGUCCAUCCUCAUCAUCUUCAUAUCGGGAAUCGUGUGCUGCAUCACUACGCUCUCUCUCAGCGCUAUAUGCACUAAUGGCGAACUCCAAGGAGGUGGCGUAUAUUUCCUUGUAUCCAGAUCUUUAGGUGCAGAGCUCGGUGCAUCAGUGGGAAUAAUAUUCGCGUUUGCCAACGCUGUAGCAGCCAGCAUGAACACUAUAGGAUUUUGCGACUCACUCAACGAAUUGCUCAAGGCUAAUAGUUAUAAAAUAAUAGAUAAUGGCCCGAAUGACACGCGAAUUGUUGGUGCUAUAGCACUGUUUGUGAUGUGUGUUAUAUGCGCCAUCGGCAUGGACUGGGAAACUAAGACUCAAAACUUUUUGAUUACCGUCAUACUUACAGCGAUAGCUAAUUUCAUACUUGGUGCAGCUCUUGGCCCAGGCUCAGAUCAAGACAAAGCUCGUGGUUUUGUGGGACUUAGUUUGGAACAGGCUCGAGCAAACUGGUCGCCUGAUUUUCGAUACAGUGAGGGAUCAUACCACGAUUUCUUCAGCGUUUUUGCUAUUUAUUUCCCCGCUGUAACGGGUGUUCAAGCAGGUGCCAAUAUUUGUGGUGAUCUAAAAGAUCCAGCGACGGCGAUACCUAAAGGGACGUUCCUAGCUCUAGCUAUAUCUAUAACAUCAUACUUGACGAUGGCAACACUGUCAGGAGUGGGGGGCUUGCGAGACGCAUCUGGCAACACCACCGACAUCGCUAACGGUUCCAUUAGCGAUUGCAAGCCCAACUGCAACUAUGGACUCCACAAUAGCUACGAAAUAAUGCAUCUUAUGGCAUUCUUCGGGCCUCUGAUCUACGCGGGUUGCUGGGCUGCCACCCUGUCAACUGCUUUGACGAACCUGCUGUCUGUGCCACGACUGAUCCAGGCACUGGGCUUCGACCGCAUAUAUCCUGGACUAAUCUUCUUUUCCAAGCGAUACGGACGACACGGCGAACCGUAUAGAGGAUAUGUGCUCACCUUCUUGGUGUCCGUCUCUUUUCUGCUCAUUGCGGAUUUGAACACGAUAGCACCGUUGAUCACAAACUUCUACCUCGCCUCGUACGCGCUCAUCAAUUUCUGCACAUUCCACGCGGCCUUCUUCAAACCUCUCAACUGGAGACCACGGUUCAGGUUCUACAACACGUGGGUAUCGCUGAGCGGCUUCUUAUUGUGUCUCGUCAUAAUGAUGGUCAUCAGCUGGGUGAUGGCACUCCUCACCACUUUCAUUUUCAUCACACUCUAUCUCUUGGUAUUAUAUAGGAAGCCAGAGACCAGCUGGGGCAGUAGUACGGACGCCCAACGUUACCAGGAAACCAUCUCGUCGAUAGUGCAGCUGUACCACAUGACCGCUCACGCCAAGGCCUUUAACCCUCAGCUGCUGAUACUCUCCGGGAAGCUCGAAGCGAGGCCCUGGCUUGUGGACCUCGGAACUCUCAUCACUAAGACCGGAUCGUUUAUGAUUCUGGCAGAAAUUGAGCCAACGGAGCUGAGCCGGGUGGAGCGGAAUCAGCGACAGCUGGCGGGAGAAGAAUGGCUGCGGGAACGCAAGCUGCGCGGUUUCUACGUGCUCAUCCAGGGCGAGGAGCCGGAGCGGUCGCUGCGGGCGCUGGUGCAGGCCACGGGGCUCGGCCGCAUGGCGCCUAACAUCGUGCUCUACGGCUUCAAGUACAACUGGGCCACCUGCUCGCACAACGACCUGCUGGCCUACUACCACAUGAUACGAUUGACAUUCCGAUUCGAAAUGUCAGUGGCGAUCUUUUACGUUCCAACCAACAUGCGCCCUAAGAAAAAGCCACCAUCGUCAGUGCCUUCUCCGGGAGCGGACACUGGCACACCGGUGGAGUACUAUGAAGACCGCGCGACGCGAUUGCGAACGCUCGCGGUCAUGAGUUCCACUUCCGAUGUCAACUUACAGCAAUCUACGACACACUAUGAGGUUGAUGAUUUUUCUAGAAGGAGUCAUACACCACCACCUGUGAGAGAGAGAGAGAGUUACGAUGUAGUAUCUCUAAGGCUCUCACCGUCUCAGAUCAGUCGCACGGGGGCCCGCAGAAUUGGGGCCUACAAACCUUUGACGUUCAACAGCUAUUUUAGACGCAUGGUGGCUGUAUGACGACGGUGGCAUGAACAUUCUUCUGCCUUACAUAAUAGCUCGAAGAAGUGUUAAAGAGAAAAUGAUGCUGAGAAUAUUUGCUCUUCCACGAGGGAAAACACCAAUAAUUGAGGCACAGAGACAGAUGUCGUCCCUACUGAAGAAGUUCCGCAUAGACUACACACAGCUGACAAUGGUGACGGGCCUCGCAGACAAGCCAGCCGCCUCUACGUGGACUUUGUUUAACAAUAUGAUUAAGAACCAUAGAACUGUUAGCGAUGAUG
rnacentral:misc_RNA from 1 species